GCUCAAGAAACUUAAAUAGAAUUGACGGGGCCCGCACAAGCGGUGGAGUAUGUGGUUUAAUUCGAUGCAACGCGAAGAACCUUACCUGGUCUUGACAUCCCGGAGACCCUUAGGAACUAGGGGUGCUUCCAUCUGGAAGAAUCUGGAGACAGGUGCUGCAUGGCUGUCAUCAGCUCGUGUCGUGAGAUGUUGGGUUAAGUCCCGCAACGAGCGCAACCCUUGCCUUUAGUUGCCAGCAGUUCGGCUGGGCACUCUAAAGGGACUGCCGGUGUUAAACCGGAGGAAGGUGGGGAUGACGUCAAGUCCUCAUGGCCUUUAUGACCAGGGCUACACACGUACUACAAUGGCCGAUACAAAGGGCAGCGACACUGCGAGGUGAAGCCAAUCCCGUAAAAUCGGUCUCAGUCCGGAUUGGAGUCUGCAACUCGACUCCAUGAAGUUGGAAUCGCUAGUAAUCGUGGAUCAGCAUGCCACGGUGAAUACGUUCCCGGGCCUU
rnacentral:rRNA from 1 species